GACGAACGCUGGCGGCGUGCCUAAUACAUGCAAGUUGAGCGCUGAAGGUUGGUACUUGUACCGACUGGAUGAGCAGCGAACGGGUGAGUAACGCGUGGGGAAUCUGCCUUUGAGCGGGGGACAACAUUUGGAAACGAAUGCUAAUACCGCAUAAAAACUUUAAACACAAGUUUUAAGUUUGAAAGAUGCAAUUGCAUCACUCAAAGAUGAUCCCGCGUUGUAUUAGCUAGUUGGUGAGGUAAAGGCUCACCAAGGCGAUGAUACAUAGCCGACCUGAGAGGGUGAUCGGCCACAUUGGGACUGAGACACGGCCCAAACUCCUACGGGAGGCAGCAAUAGGGAAUCUUCGGCAAUGGACGAAAGUCUGACCGAGCAACGCCGCGUGAGUGAAGAAGGUUUUCGGAUCGUAAAACUCUGUUGGUAGAGAAGAACGUUGGUGAGAGUGGAAAGCUCAUCAAGUGACGGUAACUACCCAGAAAGGGACGGCUAACUACGUG
rnacentral:rRNA from 1 species